GGACGUGAGGGUGACCUGGCUGUAACAGCUGUCACCCCAUCAAUCACCAGGAUUGAUUCGGCUGGUCUGACAGCUAGGCGGGUGUCCCCUUCCUCGAUCACCACUCCACGUGUGUCCUUCCCUCAGAGGCGUGCUCUCUGUCAAAGAGGAUGACCUUUCCUGAGAGAGGAGGACAGCUCUUUGGUUAAGGAUAUUCGAGUAGCUAUGCUCCUCCGCUAGAACCUCCCUACAGGCUCUCAAAAUGAUAGAUUCUAUUCACAACAAACCCAUUCUGGUUAUGAUUUUUGCAACUGGUGAUGAGUUUGCAAACUAUGCUCAAAUAUAACUAUUCAUUAUCAGUU
rnacentral:snRNA from 1 species